GUGCCAGCCGCCGCGGUAACACGGAGGGGGCUAGCGUUGUUCGGAAUUACUGGGCGUAAAGCGCACGUAGGCGGACUUGUAAGUCAGGGGUGAAAUCCCGAGGCUCAACUUCGGAACUGCCUUUGAUACUGCAAGUCUCGAGUCCGGAAGAGGUGAGUGGAAUUCCUAGUGUAGAGGUGAAAUUCGUAGAUAUUAGGAAGAACACCAGUGGCGAAGGCGGCUCACUGGUCCGGUACUGACGCUGAGGUGCGAAAGCGUGGGGAGCAGACAGGAUUAGAUACCCUAGUAGUCC
rnacentral:rRNA from 1 species